UGGUGAAUCUUCAGAUCCGGAAAGA
rnacentral:misc_RNA from 1 species